CUUGACGACCAUAGAACAUUGGAACCACCUGAUCCCAUCCCGAACUCAGCAGUGAAACGAUGUAUCGCCGAUGGUAGUGUGG
rnacentral:rRNA from 1 species